rnacentral:lncRNA from 1 species
AAUACUCGCUUUUAAGCGCUAAGUGCUUAAGCAGGAGCAGGAUCUAGAUACGGAUCAUGAGUUUUUCUCAUCAGCUAAAGCAUAAGCUGGAUUGGGAAGUGAAGUUUCGUUCGAAUCAGCAACCGUUUUCGAUCUACUCGUUGUGCGCGCUUACGCUUAUUGGCUUGGCGGAUAGGAUGCUAACAGGUUUUAGUAAGCAGUGUUUGUUUACUUUUUGAUAUACAAUAUGUCAAGUUAUAUUCUUUCUUAAACAAGCAGGGGCGCGGCACUAAGCUUAAAGAUGUUAACCAAGUCAGGGCGAAAACCAAGAAACAAGCUUUAGGCAGGCAGUGAGGUUAACCUAUUGUCUUUGUCUACGAGAUAGAUUCGAAUGUUGUCGGUUCCUCAAGCAGACCUGAGAAAGAAUCUUCGAAAGUUGUCUACAAGAUCAGAAGCGGGAGAAAGAUCUUAAACGGAAUAAGAUUCAAAAGAUGGAUCAGGAUCACCAGAAGUUCCAUUGCUAUUUCGAGUUGGCAAUCCUCAGCAGAGUAUCUCUCUUUGGCUACGAGUCGCGGUUCGGUGCUUUAGUUGUUGGCUGUAGCUCCUUCUCGUUUCAAAGUGGUAGAGUCGACAAGCAACGGAACCUCAAUUCUUUCUUAAGCGAUAAGUUGAGUACUAUUUCUUAUGGUACAACUCAAUAAAUGCGAUAAAGUAAACAUCUUCCUGACUACGAAUAUCUUUGUGUGCGACUUCUCUUGCAUGUUUCUAUUGAACUGGCAUUGUAUAGACGGAUUUGUCACUGGAGAGCCGACUCACUAAUGCUCGAGCACUGUUGAAGCGCCUGACGCGCAACAAAUACAGAAUUGGAUCUAUCAUCGAGCGCAUACGCAGUCCCAUCUUUUCAUUGAGUCUAUCGAGCACGUAAUAUAGAUGUAAGUAAAUACACAGACACUGCAUCCCUUUUGCCGACCACAACUCGUAUCGGUUAGCCAAUCACUGAUCUCGCUAACUUUCCUGUCAACACGGAACCCAGACUUUUGACUGUUACUUUCCUUUCUACUCACACUGCAGAUUCCAUAAUGACCGAGUAAGUUCUAUACAAGACACCCUUCUUAUAGGUUCCCUUGACACUUGACCGACACUGUUGAUGUUGAGAAUUCUGUCUUAACUGUAAAAGAUAUAGGAUGGAACUCUAACUGCCUUCUUCUCCUGUAACUGUUGAUUCUAUCUAAACUUAUUCUAGAGGCCUCUCGUAUUGAAGUUAUGAAUUGGAAUAUAUAUCUUAUAGAGUAUAGAUCUUUGUAAAUACACUGCUUCCCUCUACCGCCGAACCCAUCUCUACUUCCGCUCGCACCCAAAAAGACUAUACUGAUUGACUUAGUGCUCCGUGGGCCCUUACUGUAACAAAUGAGCGUUAUUAAACCUAACCCAUACUAUGAAAGAAGGGAGUUUAGUAUUCAAGCAGUAAGCAGUGAGGUUACAACGAUUUUCUUAUCUCAUAUGUCUAUCAUAGUCCAUUCAGAAUCAGAAGCUGCAUAUUCAUGGUUAACUUCACACUGGGCCUAACUCCAAUUCGAAGUAUCGUUCAAGUCACGUAUAUAAACCAAAGGGUGCCGACUUAGAAUGUAUUAGAAAACUAAGGGUGCACACAUAUGAGAGAAAUUAGGGAUUCAUAUGAGAUGAGGUGCAUUGAAUAGAACAUUGGGACCUUAGCGGAGUUUACUGGCAUUCUUGACUUCCCAUGUACCCUUAGGUGGGCAAUAGUCCCCAUAAAACAAACAAAUAGACUCAGAGCUUCUAUCCGGACUGUCAUUAUCUUAUAGAUUGACCUGUACUAAGAGCCUAUCUCCUUCUCCCUAGGGCUGCCCAACCGAAGCUACUAUAUAUGCUAGAAAACGAGCUGCUAGACAAAAGGACUCAAUUAUCUGCUGUAGCCAACAAGAGCUAGUAGAACUAUUGCUACCCGUCUUAUCGUUGUACACGUCCGAUGCCGAACUUCUGCAGUUGGAAUCAUGCAAUAGGCAUAAGAUUCUCUCUGAUAUAGAAUCCCAUCGUCCGCUAAAGAAGGGAGAGUCAUAAUGUAUUAUUGGCUAGAGGAAUAGAUCAUCCUUACUGUCGGUUCGGUCGAGACAGAAACCUAUCCUGACUAUCAGUAUCAAGUUUCGUUUUGCCCUGACAAUCAGUGAAAUACUCUCGAAAAAACCUAGGCUCUUAGCACCUUGCUUUGCUUUGUCCUU